GAACGCACAUUGCGCCCGCCCGCAUUCUGGCGGGCAUGCCUGUUCGAGCGUCAUUUCAACCCUCGAGCUCGUCUUCAUUGACGAGAUCGGUGUUGGGGAACGGCAAAGCGGGACACAGUCCGGCGCCGACCCCGAAAUUCAGUGGCGGCCCGUUGCGGCGACCUCUGCGUAGUAACUUAACCUCGCACUGGAAGAGCAGCGUGGCCACGCCGUAAAACCCCCGACUUUUUUAAGGUUGACCUCGAAUCAGGUAGGACUACCCGCUGAACUUAAG
rnacentral:misc_RNA from 1 species